rnacentral:rRNA from 1 species
AGCGGAGGAAAAGAAACCAACAGGGAUUGCCUCAGUAACGGCGAGUGAAGCGGCAAAAGCUCAAAUUUGAAAUCCCCCCGGGGAGUUGUAAUUUGAAGAUUGCGUCUUGGAGGCGACCGUGUCUAUGUUCCUUGGAACAGGACGUCACAGAGGGUGAGAAUCCCGUGCGGCACGGCCCCCGGCUCCUUAUAAGGCGCUCUCGACGAGUCGAGUUGUUUGGGAAUGCAGCUCAAAGUGGGUGGUAAAUUCCAUCUAAAGCUAAAUACAGGCGAGAGACCGAUAGCGAACAAGUACAGUGAUGGAAAGAUGAAAAGCACUUUGAAAAGAGAGUGAAACAGCACGUGAAAUUGUUGAAAGGGAAGGGCAUGCCGUCAGAUUGUCAGUGUGGGUAAGAAGCGGGGUACAAAGACUGUGGAACGUGGCCCUCGGGUGUUAUAGCCGCAGUUCAUGCCCCGUCUCUUUCCGAGGCCUGCUUUGAGGACACCGACGUAAUGACGGUACGCCGCCCGUCUUGAAACACGGA